AUUGAACGCUGGCGGCAGGCCUAACACAUGCAAGUCGAACGAGUGGCGGACGGGUGAGUAAUGUCUGGGAAACUGCCCGAUGGAGGGGGAUAACUACUGGAAACGGUAGCUAAUACCGCAUACCAUCGGAUGUGCCCAGAUGGGAUUAGCUUGUAGGUGAGGUAACGGCUCACCUAGGCGACGAUCCCUAGCUGGUCUGAGAGGAUGACCAGCCACACUGGAACGGGACCACGGUGCAGCCGCCGACGGGAGGGAGCAGUGGGGAAUAUUGCACAAUGGGGUCAAGCCUGAUGCAGCCAUGCCGCGUGUAUGAAUAAGGCCUUCGGGUUGGAAAGUACUUUCAGCGGGGAGGCGUGACCCGCAGAAGAAGCACCGGCUAACUCCGUGCCAGCAGGCGCGGUAAUUC
rnacentral:rRNA from 1 species